CAGCCACAUCCUGUUGAAACACCAGUUCUUAUCUGAUCACUGAAGUUAAGCAACAUUGAACUUGGUCAGUAGCUAGAUGGGGGACUGCUUUUGAAUACCAUGUGCUGUAGG